rnacentral:rRNA from 1 species
CAGACGGGUGAGUAAUGUAUAGGAAUCUACCUAGUAGUACGGAAUAAUUGUUGGAAACGGCAACUAAUACCGUAUACGCCCUACGGGGGAAAAAUUUAUUGCUAUUAGAUGAGCCUAUAUUAGAUUAGUUAGUUGGUGAGGUAAAGGCUUACCAAGACAAUGAUCUAUAGCUGAUCUGAGAGGAUGAUCAGCCACACUGGAACUGAGAUACGGUCCAGACUCCUACGGGAGGCAGCA